GGCGCGGUCGAAGAUCGUGGCCCCGCACACUGCUCAGUAACACGUAGUCAACCUACCCUUGGGACGGGGACAACCUCGGGAAACUGAGGCUAAUCCCCGAUAGGUGAGGGACGCUGGAAUGCCUCCUCGCCCAAAGCUCCGGCGCCCAAGGAUGGGACUGCGGUCUAUCAGGCUGUUGGUGGUGUAACGGACCACCAAACCUACGACGGGUACGGGCGAUGGGAGUCGGAGCCCGGAGAUGGGGACUGAGACAAGGCCCCAGGCCCUACGGGGCGCAGCAGGCGCGAAAACUCCGCAAUGCGCGCAAGCGUGACGGGGGAGUCCCAAGUGCCGUUGGUCUUUUGAUCGACGGCUUUUAGGAAGUCUAUGAAGCUUCCAGAAUAAGGGCUGGGUAAGACUGGUGCCAGCCGCCGCGGUAACACCAGCAGCCCAAGUGGUGGCCACGAUUAUUGGGCCUAAAGCGCUCGUAGCCGGGUCAGCAAGUCCCUUGUGAAAUCGGGCCGCCUAACGGUUCGGCGUGCAAGGGAUACUGUUGGUCUUGAGGCCGGGAGAGGUCGGAGGUACUCCUGGGGUAGCGGUGAAAUGCUCUAAUCCUGGGGGGACCACCAGUGGCGAAGGCGUCCGACCAGAACGGACCUGACGGUGAGGGGCGAAGGCUAGGGGAGCGAACGGGAUUAGAUACCCCGGUAGUCCUAGCUGUAAAGCAUGCGGGCCAGGUGUCUAGCGCUCCUCGAGGGCG
rnacentral:rRNA from 1 species